GAAAGCGCUGGCUUACAUUCAGGAAGAAAUAGGAUUAAGAGGAGGAGGGAGAGGCAUCCAUUUCUUAUACACAGCAGCACACUUGAGCUCACUUCUCCUGAUGAAGUCCUGCUCAAGCAGGAGGAAACAGGUAAAAAUUACCUAGGAUACCUGUUGGGUAUUAUUUGGACAAGGAGCAACAACCAGAAGGAGCAACAUUUGUAUAAGGAGCUACCACUAGAAUAAGAACUUGCAAGGAAAAAGAUCUGGAAGAAUUUUGAGUAACAUUUGGAGCAACAACUUGAACAAGAACCAGUAAGAAAAAAGGUCUGGAAGGACUAUAUAUCUACAAGUAUAAGGACUAUGGGCAUAAUUGACCUUCAGCCAUACCUUUGGGGGUCUAGAACACAGACAAUUUCUUCAGUAAUUGUUUGUUUCAUUAUAUAUGUUUAAUUUAUCCGUGUUUCAUGAAGUUGUGUGUGUGAAUAGACUCUUAUACACGGUAUAUAUACUACCCAGUAUAUGUUUUGUACUCUGGUCCGUGUAUCCUCUAUUCUUUCAUCUUAUCCCUGGAUAUUAACUGCUGAAGUCAAGAAUUCCACCAUUCUUAGUCAGAUAUCUAGUGUAGGGGCCAAUUAUGAUUUCUGUAACUUUGCAGUGAUGUGUUAUGGUAAUAAAAAGAAUUACCUCUAGAUAGGUUGGCAGGGAUAACAUAUCCAUCUUCUUUAAAAGAAUGUAAAAUGUUAUCUGUCUGUUAAACACUAUCUGACUCUGGA